CUCAGCCUUUCUUAUGGGUUAGCUGCUAUUUCUAACCUGUCCAGAGCUGCAUUAUGUCAAAGGCCAUUAUUUAUUCAGAACCAGAGGUCACAAACUCCCAAAGCUGAGGAAAGCUAACUGCUUUAAGCCAAGGAAAAUAGAGUUUCAUGGAAACCUAUUUACCUCUGUACAGUGGAAACAGCUGAAUACUGAAGCUGAUCAUUGAAACUGUUCUCAAGUAACUUGCUUUGUCAGAGGAAAACCACUCUCACCUCAAAGCCAUAGCAAAGCUUGCAUGACCACAGAUGCUGUCAAGUGGGAAAAAAAACUGUGAGUUCCUACCAGCUGCAGUGAAUGGUUAGGCUAAUCCUCAGCACACACCAGCAUAACAUGACUGUUGGAUCUCAGGUUCCUUGCCUUGCUGAAGGAUUCGGAGAGGACAGGAAGGAGAGCCUCUUAAACAAAUCUUGAAAUUGAAGAAGUCUGAGACAACCUAAGCCUUCUGUCAAGAGAAAUGAUGCAAAACUGAUACAGCGGAUGCACACAAAAGAGGACUGGGGCAGAGGGAAAGGGAUCAGUUUGUGAAACAGCAAGUCUAAAGAACCAAGUCAAGAACUGGGGGAAUGUUCCCUGAUCUCCCAAAGGAGCAAGGAGAAGCCACUCUGCUCCCAGCAGCCAGGAUCUUCAGUGCUGACGUUUCCUGAGCAUGCACUGGCAGGGAGCAAUUGGAGCAUCCUUCUCAGAGUGUGUCACUCAUAAAAUAAACACAGCUGCAGCUCUCACCCUCCCUGUGGGAAGAGCAACCACCACAAAAUCAUUCUGUGCAAAACAGCCCCCUUUUUCCUUGGCCAAAUACAACAAAACUUCCUACCUACUACUACUACAGAUCUGGUAAGAGUGGCUUGUACUGGUGGGAUCAGGCAAGAGGGAGGAAGGUUGAAUUUAUUUCUGGGAAAAAAAAAAUCAAAUUAAAAAAUACUAAAGGAAGAGUAAUAAUAUUUCACUUCAGGAACCAGGGAACCAGGUGUCAUACAAAUCCAGUCAAAACAUUCAGCAUCCCUAGGAAAAACAGGGCUGUCCUUGGAUCUCCUUGAAUAUUGCAAGGGCUCUCAAAAUGACUGAGCAAGCUCAGAAGCUGGAGCAGCAUCGCUGCACAAAACGUAUAUGCUUUACUCUCCUUACAGAAGGAAAACAAUGGGGAAAAAUUAACUGGAUCACAUUAAGUUUGUAUUUAUCUUACAGCAUUUGUACUGAGAUGGGAGGAAGAGAUAGUCACCACAAGGGCAAGGGAGUAAGUGUUUACCCACUGCUAACUGAAUCUUUUCUAUUAGGUAUCUUCCAGCAGACUACGUAUCAAAACUCCCUACAAGCAGUACAAUAAUGAGGAUGGCUCUUUUAGUACCAAGGGACACAUAGCAGAGCUGGCAGCAGAACCUAGGAACAAGGCAGCAAGUAAAAGAAGCUUCAAGUCAGUGUCUACUUCUCUUUGGUCUGGGAGAAGACUGCCUAUAACCAAAGGUGAAUCAAAGCUAUCCAGUUAUUACCAGUCCCACCGGUGGGAACCUGCAAAGUGAAGAGGGUGAGAGUUGUUUUGUCUCCAUUACGUAAUGAAAAUAAGGAGAAACUUGAACAUGAAUGUGCAUGAAAUGGCACUUUGAGGGUGGGAAGAGGAGGAGGAGGAGGAGAAAGAAGAAGAGGAGGAGGGAAAUAGGCACUUCUGUGUGCUAGAAAGUUGCAUUGCUCAGAUAAUGAGAAGAUUGGUUCCCCUAGGAACAGACAACUCUGUUUAGAAAAGGCUGGGAUGAAGGGGCAAUAUCCUACAUUGUGCAACUGGAAAAACAACUAAAACUGCUCAUGGGAAAAAUAAGAAGAGCAGGGUUGCUCCCAAGGAAACAAACAAGCCAGAAAAAAAAUCCCAGCUCCUUUUAGAAAUGCAAACUUUACCAGAGUAAGAACAGACAGAACGAAUCUCGCAGACCCCAUACAUCCACAGGCACACUGGGGAGAAGUGCUGCUCUCCCAGGAAGCUGGGGGUCCAGAAUGGCCAGGCUUUAUGAGCAGAAAACCAUGACAUGGAUACUGCUCUGAGAGCGAUGUGCUACCCAUGUGUAGGUAGAUACCACCCAUGGAGCUGCUGCCCGGUAUGCUGAUGUGACCAGUUCCUUUCUAGCCACAGAAUGGCAGGUUGGUCUUGGCCCACUCCACACCAUCAAUGCCUGGCACUGUCAUCAUUCAGGUGGGAGUAAGGCUGUAAAAUGACACUCUGAUUGGGAAUUAAAGGCUGAGAUUAUUGUCACUCUUACCUGAGAUGCAACCUGUGUUCCUUCAAAUAAAGCAAGAGUUACUAUAAGGAGAUUACAGGACAUGGUUGUUGAGGGUCAUACUUUGCUUUUUCUCAGCCCUUAGAGUAACACUGUAUUAGCGUAUGUUGGCAUUUAAUUGCAAAAUUUAUUUUGUUUCUAUACUAAUGAUACUGUAUUUUUACUGAUUCAUUUUACAAUGAAAUGAAAUCAUUUUUCUGUAAUAUUCCUCCCACUACUUAACCUACUUAACAAAUUUCAACUCCCUGCAACAUAGUGCACAUAAAAUUGAUUUUAAUUUCAAAAGCAGUGAAAGUAUUUUUAUUCUUUACAUUUUUAUCACAGACAUUUUAGAUAUUUUUCACAUACCAGAAAUCAAUAAUGCAUGGUCUGAGAUCAAAUACAAAGCUAUGGUCCUCCAGACUGAGCAGUUUUGCUUUUAAAUUCUUAAAAUGUAAUAUCAAGGGAGAUAAUCAGUUUUUUAAAAAAGAUACAGAAAGAAAAGGUCUUUUGUUCCUAAUAUGUUAUUUGAUCCAAAUCUUCAUUUAAAAAACAAACUGGCCAGGUGCACCAAAUGUCCAGUGAUUUUGAAUGAUUAAGAAAACCUAUUGCACCUGCAAUACGCAGGUUUGCAGGGGGGAAAAAUAUUUUUUUUAAUUACCUUACUUCCUACAGCUGAGGAUAAAUACUGCAGUACUCUAUAGUUGAAAUGUGGAAGCCAACACUGGAAUUGUAAUAGCAUAUAGUAGGUUGAAUAGGGAGUAAGAUCUACCAUUCAAUAUGCACUUACCUAUUUCUGCAACAAAUACAUGGGCCAGAUGGAAGGUGAAGAAGAAAACAAUAAAAAAUGAAUGAUGUAUUCAGGGAUAUAUUGCAUCCAGUAUCAAAGUCAGGUAACAUACGCAGGUUGCUGAACACCCUGGCCUAUGUCCAGUCUUCUGAAUAACAUCAGCAAUAAAAUACGAGUACCGCCACAUGACACCAGACUGUAUGUAGUACAAGAGAAAAAUAUUUCUCACUUUUGCUCUAAAUACCUGUGCACAUGUCAGUCAUGCUCUUGUUACACAAAAAGCUGCUACUGGCAAAAGUGCUCAGCUCAGCCCCUCUCCAGAUUCUUUUCCCAUCUGAAUUAAAUCAGCAUCUUCAGACACAAGAUGACACCUAUCCUUGCCCCAGCCUCCAAAGAAGGAAGGACACAUUACCUUCAACAGCAAGAGUGUGAGACACCCACAUGACACCUGUUUCCAGAGGUGACACCUGCCAGCAUCUUGUUCUGGGGGAGAACUUAGCCUAAUGAGCCUUGGGUAUGUCAAAAGGGCUCCAAAAACAAACGAAGUGUCACCUGGAGCACUGUUGGGUUCUUGGGCCCACUGCUGAGAGGAGCUUUCCAACUGAGUCCUCCCUGUCUGCCUUUGAAAAUACAGCAGGCCCAAAAUUUGCCUCUACUGCACUUAAUGUUUUAAGUUUAAAUGCAGUCUGGAGAAAAAACAUCUGGGCCUGCACCAGUGCCUAAAUCUGGGAUGCUUUGUGAUGCUGCGGUGAAGAGAGGUGAAACAGAGGAGAGUCAGCACUUAGGUGUUGAGAAGCAGGUUGCUCGGCAGCACGUAGCUACUGAUUUACUAAUGAUUUAUGAUGUAAUGAUGUAAUCCCUAGAUACGUGGAAUGUGGUGUUUCCAGUGUGUUCUAGUAUAUUCCAGCAUAUCCAUAGUAUUCUGUAUCCAUAGUGCUGUAGUUAACAACAUAUCCCAUAUAUGGAGAUUACUCGGGUAACAAUAUUGUUAGCGUGCGCGUUGCAUAGAGCUUGUAUCCCUGGACUCUGUAUCCCUGGAAGCAUAUAUGCUACAUAA